AGAGUUUNAUCCUGGCUCAGAUUGAACGCUAGCGGGAUGCNUUACACAUGCAAGUCGAAACGGCAGCACGGACUUUCGGUNUGGUGGCGAGUGGCGAACGGGUGAGUAAUGUAUCGGAACGUGCCUAGUAGCGGGGGAUAACUACGCGAAAGCGUAGCUAAUACCGCAUACGCCCUACGGGGGAAAGCAGGGGAUCGCAAGACCUUGCACUAUUAGAGCGGCCGAUAUCGGAUUAGCUAGUUGGUGGGGUAACGGCUCACCAAGGCGACGAUCCGUAGCUGGUUUGAGAGGACGACCAGCCACACUGGGACUGAGACACGGCCCAGACUCCUACGGGAGGCAGCAGUGGGGAAUUUUGGACAAUGGGGGAAACCCUGAUCCAGCCAUCCNGGGAANGCGAUGAAGGCCUUCGGGUUGUAAAGCACUUUUGGCNUUNUUNGAAACGUGGAGGAAGCUAAUCCCC
rnacentral:rRNA from 1 species